rnacentral:rRNA from 1 species
GAUGAACGCUGGCGGCGUGCCUAAUACAUGCAAGUCGAGCGAACGGACGAGAAGCUUGCUUUUCUGAUGUUAGCGGCGGACGGGUGAGUAACACGUGGAUAACCUACCUAUAAGACUGGGAUAACUUCGGGAAACCGGAGCUAAUACCGGAUGAUAUUCUGAACCGCAUGGUUCAAAAGUGAAAGACGGUCUUGCUGUCACUUAUAGAUGGAUCCGCGCUGCAUUAGCUAGUUGGUAAGGUAACGGCUUACCAAGGCAACGAUGCAUAGCCGACCUGAGAGGGUGAUCGGCCACACUGGAACUGAGACACGGUCCAGGCUCCUACGGGAGGCAGCAGUAGGGAAUCUUCCGCAAUGGGCGAAAGCCUGACGGAGCAACGCCGCGUGAGUGAUGAAGGUCUUCGGAUCGUAAAACUCUGUUAUUAGGGAAGAACAUAUGUGUAAGUAACUGUGCACAUCUUGACGGUACCUAAUCAGAAAGCCACGGCUAACUACGUG